rnacentral:rRNA from 1 species
UACGCAGGCGGAAAAUUAAGUCAGUGGUGAAAUCCUGCAGCUUAACUGUAGAACUGUCAUUGAUACUGGUUUUCUUGAAUAUAGUUGAGGUAGGCGGAAUGUGUAAUUUAGCGGUGAAAUGCUUAGAUAUUACACAGAACACCGAUUGCGAAGGCAGCUUACUAAGCUAUGAUUGACGCUGAGGUACGAAAGCGUGGGGAGCGAACAGGAUUAGAUACCCUGGUAGUCC